rnacentral:rRNA from 1 species
UACGGGGGGGGCAAGCGUUGUUCGGAAUUACUGGGCGUAAAGGGCUCGUAGGUGGCCAACUAAGUCAGACGUGAAAUCCCUCAGCUUAACUGGGGAACUGCGUCUGAUACUGGAUGGCUUGAGUUUGGGAGAGGGAUGCGGAAUUCCAGGUGUAGCGGUGAAAUGCGCAGAUAUCAGGAGGAACACCAAUGGCGAAGGCAGCUCACUGGGACGGUAUUGACGCUGAGACGCGAAAGCGUGGGGAGCAAACAGG